rnacentral:lncRNA from 1 species
AGACGGCUCCCAGUUCAUUUGCAUGGAGGAGGGAGAGCCCCAGAUGGGAGGUCUUCGGAGCUAGAGGGAAAAAAGGGGUUAACCGCGAAGCAGGUAAAUGUUAAAUCCCUGUGCGGUGUUUGGAAGCCUUUAUACUGCCAGGUCUGGCACAUUCUGGCAAAAACAUCAGUCAAAGGGAUCCAACUUAGCUCUUCUCCUCUUUGGAAUUUCCACUGGCUGUAGCUGUGCUAUUUUUAGAAGUUUGCUUUUUAUUUGCAUUCUCUUUCUUUUCUCUCUGCCAACACCGAGACUGAGAUCUCAUAAAACUGACAUUAAAAUUAUCAAAUAAUAUUGAACCAACCUAAUGAAAAUCUUAACCAAAAGUCACUGUAAAUUAGGUAUUUGCUAUACUGAGAAUACAAGCCUUUGUAAACUAGAUAUUGUUCUUAUGUAAACUCAUGAAUGGAGACUUUCUCAAAUAAAUUACUUCUUAAUAACACCAGAGAGUCAUUGGCUGUGUAAAUAUCUCCCUGGGGCACUCACUG